rnacentral:rRNA from 1 species
GCUAUUGGGAUUCGACUAAGCCAUGCGAGUCGAGAGGGUUCGGCCCUCGGCUGACGGCUCAGUAACACGUGGAUAAUCUGCCCUAAGGUGGAGGAUAACCUCGGGAAACUGAGAAUAAUACUCCAUAAGUCUAGGAUGCUGGAAUGCACUUAGGCUGAAGACUUCGGUGCCUUAGGAUGAGUCUGCGGACUAUCAGGUUGUAGUCAGGGUAAGGACCUGACUAGCCUACGACGGAUACGGGUUGUGAGAGCAAUAACCCGGAGAUGAUAUCUGAGACACGAUAUCAGGCCCUACGGGGCGCAGCAGGCGCGAAAACUUCACACUGCGCGGAAGCGCGACGAGGGAAUCCCAAGUGUAUGCACGUAAGUGUAUACUGUUUCUCUGUCUAAAAAGCAGAGAGAGUAAGAGCUGGGUAAGACGGGUGCCAGCCGCCGCGGUAAUACCUGCAGCUCGAGUGGUGAUCGUUAUUAUUGGGCCUAAAACGUCCGUAGCCGGUCUUGUAAAUGCCUGGGUAAAUCGUAUGGCUUAACCAUACGAAUUCCGGGUAGACUGUUAGACUUGAGACCGGGAGAAGCUAGAGGUACUCCUGGGGUAGAGGUGAAAUUCUGUAAUCCUAGGGGGACCACCAGUGGCGAAGGCGUCUAGCUAGAACGGGUCUGACGGUGAGGGACGAAGCCCUGGGGCGCAAACGGGAUUAGAUACC